CUUCCGCCGGCGACCGGCGCACGGGUGAGUAACACGUAUGCAACCUGCCCCUGUCAGGGGGACAACCGCCGAAAGGCGGGCUAAACCCGCGUACAUGCCACCGGGGCAUCCCGGAGGCAGGAAAGGCUUCGGCCGGACAGGGAUGGGCAUGCGGCGCAUUAGGCAGUAGGCGGGGUAACGGCCCACCUAACCGACGAUGCGUAGGGGUUCUGAGAGGAAGGUCCCCCACACUGGUACUGAGACACGGACCAGACUCCUACGGGAGGCAGCAG
rnacentral:rRNA from 1 species